rnacentral:rRNA from 1 species
GACGUAGGGCGCGAGCGUUGUCCGGAUUUAUUGGGCGUAAAGAGCUCGUAGGCGGCUUGUCGCGUCGUCCGUGAAAACCUGCAGCUCAACUGCAGGCUUGCAGUCGAUACGGGCAGGCUAGAGUUCGGCAGGGGAGACUGGAAUUCCUGGUGUAGCGGUGAAAUGCGCAGAUAUCAGGAGGAACACCGGUGGCGAAGGCGGAUCUCUGGGCCAUUACUGACGCUGAGGAGCGAAAGCGUGGGGAGCGAACAGG